AGAAAAGAGCGCCGAACCCUUACGGCAACCUUCCACUCGCCGUAACUUCUCCGUCCGAGCUCCGAUUGCCGCAGCGUUUAUGGCCACGCGUCCAUCGCAUUGAGCUCUACACUUCUACCGGAACAAUUUCAUUGGAUCCAAUUAGCUUGAGGAAAACGUUCACUCUUGCUUAUGUGAAGCUUGGGUAAGGUUGUGAAUAAAUAAUUGGAGCUUGAAAUUGUGAAUAUUGGAACUUGGAGGAAGCUGAGCCUAGAGUUUAUUGAGUUUUGAGGGGCUGCCUUGGUUUU